rnacentral:sRNA from 1 species
CAAGCUGCGGAAGGGCUGGGAGCUCUUCGAGUGCUGGAAACCUAUGCGGCCCGGAGGUCUCCCAGUGGGUGUCUCGGAGAACCGUGAACAACUUCCUGAGCAUGGGCCUGGAUCAUCCCAGCCAGCUGGUGAGGGUCAGGAGCCUGAGGGACCUCAGCAGUGCCUUAAUGCACCCCAAGAAGGUCCAGCUGAUGGGGCUGCUGGACAGUUUCCUGAAGACUGACCCGAGGACCUCACAGGCCUGAUGGAGAUCCUGAGUGACAUUCUGCACCGCCUGGGCACCCAGGGCCUCGGUCCACCAGCGUCAUGAGGGCCCAGCACCUGCUGCCCUUGGUCGAG